rnacentral:rRNA from 1 species
GACGAACGCUGGCGGCGUGCUUAACACAUGCAAGUCGAACGAAGUGGCGAACGGGUGAGUAACGCGUAAUCAACCUGCCCUUCAGAGGGGGACAACAGUUGGAAACGACUGCUAAUACCGCAUACUGAAGGAGGGGCUUGCGUCUGAUUAGCUAGUUGGAGGGGUAACGGCCCACCAAGGCGAUGAUCAGUAGCCGGGCGUAGAGGAGGAACGGCGAAAUUGGGACUGAGAAACGGCCCAGACUCCUACGGGAGGCAGCAGUGGGGAAACUUCCGCAAUGGACGAAAGUCGGACGGAGCAACGCCGCGGGAGUGAUGACGGCCUUCGGGUUUUAAAGCUCUGUUAAUCGGGACGCGGUACCGGAAUAGAAAGCCACGGCUAACUACGUGCCAGCAGCCGCGGUAAUAC